GCACUUUAUUAAAAUUGAACUUAAUUUCUCCACCACUGCCAUUCAUCAGCGCACAAAGAUAAGCAACUAUUUCCUUCAGCAUUCGUUCUUUGUACUUUUUAUCGGAAGGAAAUUUCCCUAAGUCGAUGUAAAGCUCCAAGGGAUCCAUGUCAUCCGAAAACGUGAAGUACAAAGACUAUAUAAUCGAAAGCCAGCUACUCCACCUGAGUUGUUAGUCAAUAACGCCU